AACUACAGCGAACUUCAUUCUUAUAUGACGAGAAGAGGAUUUUUCACAUUUUUUUUUAUUUUUAUUAAAUCAUCACGAAAUGGCACCGGUCAGUCAAUACCAAGGACGUGAGAGCAUAUCGUGUCCUGAGAACCACAAAAUUCUUGUGGAAAAAACGCGGAGAGACAGAAUCGACCGCAGUAUCGAACAUCUGAGAGAGUUAUUUCACAACACCACACAAAUGUCUGGGUGACAUUUUGUUAUACCAAACAAAGCCGAUAUUCUGGAGAUGACCGUUGAUUUUUU